rnacentral:piRNA from 1 species
UAGAUCUGAUCUAAUUGUUCC